rnacentral:miRNA from 1 species
UGACCUGGGACUCGGAUAGCUGC